rnacentral:tRNA from 1 species
GAGUUGGUAGCUCAGUGGUAGAGUGCAUGCUUUGUGUGUUUGAAGUCCAUGGUUCAAUCCCCAGGUCGCCACC